rnacentral:lncRNA from 1 species
AACACUGCUAUGAAUAUUCAUUGAUAGGUUUUUGUGUGAACAUGUGUUUUUAAUUCUCCUAACUACAGGCUCAGAAGUAGGGUUUCUGGGUCAUAUGGCAACUCUAUGUUUACAUUCUGAGAAACUGUCAAAUUGUUUUUCUUUUUUUCUUUUUUCUUUUUUUUAUUAUUUUCUGCUGCCACCUCAUCUCCCCAAAUUGAUUUUCAAAGUGGCUGCACCAUUUUGCAAUUCCACCAGCAGUGUAUGAGGGUUCCAGUUUCUCCACACCCUCAGCAACACUUCAACACUUGCUUUUUUUUUUUUUUUUGAGAUGGGGUCUCGCUCUGUCGCUAGGCUGGAGUGCAGUGGCGUGAUCUCAGCUCACUGCGACCUCUGCCUCCUGGGUUCAAGAGAUUCUCGUGCCUCAGCCUCCUGAGUAGCUGGGACUACAGGCAGCUAUUCCCAACCCCAGAACCUUUGCUGUCUUGGAACAGAUCACCACUGCAAGAGGGGAAGUUGCUACUGUGAUGAAUUCUGCCAUGUGGUACCAGACUGCUACCCAGACCACAGUGUCCUCUGCAACCCUCGUAACUCACAUACAGGCCUGAUUCCACCUACAGCAAAGCUGGAUGCUAUGGUUGGCAGAGGCAAACCCUUUGCCUGCACUUCAGGCCAAAGCCGGGAUGUGGCCUAGAUGGUUCCUAAGGUCCCUGACAAUCCUGAGAUCUUGCAUCUUGUCUAUUUCAGGUCAAAGCUUCUCAGAUGACCAAGAUGGUGCUGCAGAUGGUGCUGAGGAUGGAGAACCCACCAAGCCC